GAUGAACGCUGGCGGCGUGCCUAAUACAUGCAAGUCGAGCGAACAGACGAGGAGCUUACUCCUCUGACGUUAGCGGCGGACGGGUGAGUAACACGUGGAUAACCUACCUAUAAGACUGGGAUAACUUCGGGAAACCGGAGCUAAUACCGGAUAACAUGUUGAACCGCAUGGUUCAACAGUGAAAGACGGUCUUGCUGUCACUUAUAGAUGGAUCCGCGUCGCAUUAGCUAGUUGGUAAGGUAACGGCUUACCAAGGCAACGAUGCGUAGCCGACCUGAGAGGGUGAUCGGCCACCCUGGAACUGAGACACGGUCCAGACUCCUACGGGAGGCAGCAGUAGGGAAUCCUCCGCAAUGGGCGAAAGCCAGACGGAGCAACGCCGCGUGAGUGAAGAAGGUCUUCGGAUCGUAAAACUCUGUUAUUAGGGAAGAACAAAUGUGUAAGUAACUAUGCACGUCUUGACGGUACCUAAUCAGAAAGCCACGGCUAACUACGUG
rnacentral:rRNA from 1 species